rnacentral:rRNA from 1 species
UAAGGCUGAGACCCGAUGUCGAGUCACCACGGUGAUGAAGUCAUUGAUGCCAUGCUUCCGGGAAAAGCCUCUAAGCUUCAGAUAAUAAGCAAUCGUACCCCAAACCGACACAGGUGGUCAGGUAGAGAAUACCAAGGCGCUUGAGAGAACUCGGGUGAAGGAACUAGGCAAAAUGGUACCGUAACUUCGGGAGAAGGUACGCUCCUGGCGGUGAAGUCCCUUGCGGAUGGAGCUGCCGGGAGUCGCAGAUACCAGGUGGCUGCAACUGUUUAUUAAAAACACAGCACUGUGCAAAAUCGAAAGAUGACGUAUACGGUGUGACGCCUGCCCGGUGCCGGAAGGUUAAUUGAUGGGGUUAUCUUCGGAGAAGCUCUUGAUCGAAGCCCCGGUAAACGGCGGCCGUAACUAUAACGGUCCUAAGGUAGCGAAAUUCCUUGUCGGGUAAGUUCCGACCUGCACGAAUGGCGUAAUGAUGGCCACGCUGUCUCCACCCGAGACUCAGUGAAAUUGAAAUCGCAGUGAAGAUGCUGCGUACCCGCGGCUAGACGGAAAGACCCCGUGAACCUUUACUACAGCUUGGCACUGAACAUUGACCCUACAUGUGUAGGAUAGGUGGGAGGCUUCGAAGCAGGUACGCCAGUAUCUGUGGAGCCGUCCUUGAAAUACCACCCUUGUCGUGUUGAUGUUCUAACGUCGCCCCGUUAUCCGGGGUGCGGACAGUGCCUGGUGGGUAGUUUGACUGGGGCGGUCUCCUCCCAAAGCGUAACGGAGGAGCACGAAGGUGGGCUAAUCACGGUCGGACAUCGUGAGGUUAGUGCAAUGGCAUAAGCCCGCUUAACUGCGAGAAUGACGGUUCGAGCAGGUGCGAAAGCAGGUCAUAGUGAUCCGGUGGUUCUGAAUGGAAGGGCCAUCGCUCAACGGAUAAAAGGUACUCCGGGGAUAACAGGCUGAUACCGCCCAAGAGUUCAUAUCGACGGCGGUGUUUGGCACCUCGAUGUCGGCUCAUCACAUCCUGGGGCUGAAGUCGGUCCCAAGGGUAUGGCUGUUCGCCAUUUAAAGUGGUACGCGAGCUGGGUUUAGAACGUCGUGAGACAGUUCGGUCCCUAUCUGCCGUGGGCGCUGGAUGAUUGAAGGGAGUUGCUCCUAGUACGAGAGGACCGGAGUGAACGAACCGCUGGUGUUCGGGUUGUGUCGCCAGACGCAUUGCCCGGUAGCUAAGUUCGGCACAGAUAACCGCUGAAAGCAUCUAAGCGGGAAGCUGGCCCUGAGAUGAGUCAUCCCUGAGGCUUUGAGCCUCCUGAAGGGCUGUUCGAGACUAGAACGUUGAUAGGCAGGGUGUGUAAGCGUUGUGAGGCGCUCAGCUAACCUGUACUAAUUGCCCGUGAGGCUUAACCAU